CCAGGGCUCAGUGAGGAGCCGGAGUGUCCCGGCCUGCCUGGACUCCAGCCGGGACCUCCCACAUGAGGCUCAUUCAUCUAUGCCCAGGAUUCUCAAAGAACCCCGGCCCCAGCCUGCUCUCUGUCAUGUGCUGAGCCCCAAGCUUACCCAUGCCUCCUGCCGUGGGGACCAGAGAAUGAGAAGACCACCAGGGAGACCCGCCCUGGAGACCAUGAGAAUGACAUCACCAAGUGUGCCCUCUGUCCUGUCACUUGGAGCUCCUGGAAGCACAGAAUGUCCCUCAGCCUGGACACUGCCCCUGGCCUGGGGAGGUAGAUGCUCCCCACCUCCCCUCCUGCCCUAGUGCAGAGGAAAGAAGAUCAAAUCUGGAGUCAGCAGACAUAGGAGUCUAAUCCCUGGUUCUGAUAUAUCUAGGCAGUCAUUGCCUUAGCCACACUCAGCCUUAAUCUCCUGAUCUGCAAAAUGGGGAGAACCACACUAACUUUGCAGUUUGCGGUGAGAGUCAAGGAAACCCACGUGAGAAGUGUCUGGCACUGUGCCUCGCAUGUACUGUGUUUGUCGGCCCCUCGGGCCUCAUGUUGUUGCUCUGGCACCCCAGGGGCUCAGGUGGAGCCACG
rnacentral:lncRNA from 10 species